GACGGAGGAUGCAAGCGUUAUCCGGAAUUAUUGGGCGUAAAGGGUGCGUAGGUGGUCAGACAAGUCCCAUGUCAAAGCAUGGUGCUUAACGCCAUAAAGGCGUGGGAAACUGUCAGACUAGAGUACAGCAGGGGCGGGAGGAAUUCCCGGUGUAGCGGUGAAAUGCGUAGAUAUCGGGAAGAACACCAGUGGCGCAAGCGUUCUGCUGGGCUGUAACUGACACUGAGGCACGAAAGCUAGGGGAGCGAAAGGG
rnacentral:rRNA from 1 species